AUUGAACGCUGGCGGCAUGCCUAACACAUGCAAGUCGCACGCGAAAGGGGGCAACCCUGAGUAGAGUGGCGGACGGGUGCGUAAUACGUAGGAAUCUACCUAAUAGUGGGGGACAACCCGGCGAAAGCCGGGCUAAUACCGCAUACGACCUAUGGGUGAAAGCCGGGGACCGCAAGGCCUGGCGCUAUUUAGAUGAGCCUGCGUCGGAUUAGCUAGUUGGUGAGGUAAAGGCUCACCAAGGCGACGAUCCGUAGCUGGUCUGAGAGGACGACCAGCCACACUGGGACGUGAGACACGGCCCACGACUCCUACCGGGAGGGCAGCAGUGGGGAAGUAUUGGUACGAAUGGGGGGCGAACCCUCGAUCCAGCAAUGCCGCGUGUGUGAAGAA
rnacentral:rRNA from 1 species